UGGGGAAUAUUGGACAAUGGGCGCAAGCCUGAUCCAGCCAUGCCGCGUGAGUGAUGAAGGCCCUAGGGUUGUAAAGCUCUUUCACCGGUGAAGAUAAUGACGGUAACCGGAGAAGAAGCCCCGGCUAACUUCGCGCCAGCAGCCGCGGUAAUACGAAGGGGGCUAGCGUUGUUCGGAUUUACUGGGCGUAAAGCGCACGUAGGCGGACUAUUAAGUCAGGGGUGAAAUCCCGGGGCACAACCCCGGAACUGCCUUAGAUACUGGUAGUUUUGAGUUCGGGAGAGGUGAGUGGAAUUCCGCGUGUAGAGGUGAAGAUCGUAGAUAUUCGGAGGAACACCAGUGACGAAGGCGGCUCACUGGCUCGAUACUGACGCUGAGGUGCGAAAGCGUGGGGAGCAAACAGG
rnacentral:rRNA from 1 species